rnacentral:misc_RNA from 1 species
GAAAUGCGAUAAGUAAUGUGAAUUGCAGAAUUCAGUGAAUCAUCGAAUCUUUGAACGCACCUUGCGCUCCUUGGUAUUCCUUGGAGCAUGCCUGUUUGAGUAUCAUGAAAUCUUCAAAGUAAAUCUUUUGUUAACUCAAUUGGUUUCUACUUUGGUAUUGGAGGUCUUUGCAGCUUCACACCUGCUCCUCUUUGUUCAUUAGCUGGAUCUCAGUGUUAUGCUUGGUUCCACUCGGCGUGAUAAGUUAUCUAUCGCUGAGGACACUGUAAAAGGUGGCCAAGGUAAAUGCAGAUGAACCGCUUCUAAUAGUCCAUUGACUUGGACAAUACUUUUAUGAUCUGAUCUCAAAUCAGGUAGGACUACCCGCUGAACUUACGC